UACAGAGGUCUCAACCGUUGUUCGGAUUCAUUGGGCGUAAAGGGUGCGUAGGCGGUCGUGCAAGUCGGAUGUGAAAUCUCAGGGCUCAACCCUGAAACUGCAUUCGAUACUGCGUGGCUAGAGUGCUGGAGAGGAGACUGGAAUUUACGGUGUAGCGGUGAAAUGCGUAGAUAUCGUAAGGAAGACCAGUGGCGAAGGCGGGUCUCUGGACAGUUCCUGACGCUGAGGCACGAAGGUCAGGGGAGCAAACGGG
rnacentral:rRNA from 1 species